GGGGGCGACCUGGUUUCGACAGGGGUCAUGAGAUGAUUGGACGCGUGCCGAGGUGUGAGUCCCUCGCUAAACCACUUACGAAAAAUUAAACGCCAACGAUGAGCGUUUCGCUCUCGCCGCUUAAUUAGGCGAGACGCUGCAACCGGUUCGCUUUUAGAUCGGGCUGCGAAAGCAGCGGCAGCGACAUACUAUAAAAGCUAGUCAGUUUUGGAGUUGUGACGAAGCUGGCGAAGUUCAGCAACUGGCUGUUGUCCGGCAUCGCUAAUUUGCAGAGAUAACAGUGAGAACUAAAAUGAAUUAGACACGCACGUAGAGGCUGUUGUUGAUAACUUCUGGACGCGAGUUCGAUUCUCGCCGCCUCCACCA
rfam:Burkholderiales bacterium YL45, complete genome.